CAGUAGCCGCGGUAAUACGAACCGUGCGAACGUUAUUCGGAAUUACUGGGCUUAAAGCGCGUGUAGGCGGGCCGCCACGUCGGUUGCUGAAAUCCCCCGGCUCAACCGGGGAAGUGGCAUCGAUACGAGCGGCCUUGAGGGGGGUAGGGGGAUCUGGAACUUCCGGUGGAGCGGUGAAAUGCGUUGAGAUCGGAAGGAACGCCCGUGGCGAAAGCGAGGUCCUGGACCCUUUCUGACGCUGAGACGCGAAAGCCAGGGGAGCGAACGGGAUUAGAUACCCCUGUAGUCCCUGUCUCUUAUA
rnacentral:rRNA from 1 species